AGGAGACCCAGGUUUGAUCCCUGGGUCGGAAAGUUCCCCUGAAAGAGCAGUGGCAGCCCACUCCAGUAUUCUUGCCUGGAAAAUUCCAUGGCCUAUUUAAAGACCCUGUCUCCAAAUACAGUCGCACUUUGAGGUGCCAGAGUCUUAACUGCUGGACUGCUGGGGAAUUCCCUAAAAGGUGGUUUGGAUUUGUGGAUGAAGGACCUGGAAAGAGAAGUGUGCAACCUGUGGCUUGUGGAGGAUUCUGGUGGAGAGACGUUAUGGACCUUUAGUUAUCACUUACCCCUCAUCUGCUGAUGGCUACCAACACAACGUAAAAACUUAAAGAAGUACACAGAUGAGA
ensembl:lncRNA